rnacentral:piRNA from 1 species
UCCCGGGAGCGGGGAGCCACCAGG